CAACAUGUAGCCAGGCCAAGCUUAAUCUAAGUUAGUGACCCCCAAAUUUCACCAAAUGUUCUAGAGUUUAAAAUAUACCUAGCACUCCUACUGUGUGAAUUUAAAUUUAUAAAUUAUAUGAAUACUACACGUUACCAAAUGUGUGAAAAUAAACAUGAAUAAAGAAAGAGAUACAAGCUGUAAUACUUUUCUCAUGCAUCAUACAUCCUCACGAUUUUUUCAGUCUGCUUCAGAGACUGUCACUCUAGAACAAGACAAGUUUAAUCUCAGACCUUUACAGGAACGGUUAUGAUGCCUUAAUAUUUUCAUUUUCCUUUUCUUUGUAGGCUGGUCUGUGGUUUUCAGGAGAUGAAGAGAUAAAAGUUCCAGAAAAUCCCCUUGAGCCCUUGCCAUUUAAUAGGCAAGAACACCUUAUAGAGUUCUUCUUCAUGCUGUUUGCUGACUGUGAGAAGGACCCACCCCAGCUUGACUACACUCAGAUGCUGCUGUAUUUUGCAUGCCACCCGGACAUGGUGGAAGGUAUCUACAGGGCUCUCAGUGUGGCUGUUGGAACUCAUAUCUUCAGACAAGUUGAAACGCCUGUGCUGGCUGCAGAAAAGACUCCCUUCUCUCCUGGCCUGAGUCCCAUCAGUGAAUCUCCUGACCUUGAGGAAAAGUCUGGAAAAGAAGAAAGAGAAGUGAAAGAGGAGAGGGGUGAAAGAGAACAAAAGAAAAAAGAAGUACCUGGCAAGACAAACACUGAAAAGAUUUCCAUGGAAACACUACUCACAGUAUUCCGAGGAGGAAGCGAAACACAAGAUACUAACCGAUUUGCCAGUCACCUAAAGAUAGAGAACAUUUAUGCAGAGAAUUUCACAAAGACAUUUCAGGACCUUGGUGUUAAGAAUGUGGAGCUGAUUGAAAUUGCUCUUCUUUUGAAACAUCCUUUCAUUCAGCAACUGAUUGCAAGUUAUUCAGACUAUAAGCUUCCUGUUAUUAAGAAGAUUCUCCAAAGGAAUGGACAUGUACAAAGACCUGAUGAUGAAAGAUCACCUACAAGAUUUACAGAGGAAAAGAAAUGACAAAACAGUAUCAUUUCAUAAUUUGACAAUGAGCUUUCCAAAAAUCAAAUGAGAAUAUGAUGUUUAUCAUACAUAUUCCGUUGUAAACAGAGAAAAUGACCCUCACUCAAUUAAAAAUAUUGUAUUACAAGCCUUACAGAAAUACAGC
rnacentral:lncRNA from 1 species